rnacentral:rRNA from 1 species
GAGACUCUGUGCGCGUGCAUAUCAAUAAGCGGAGGAAAAGAAACUAACAAGGAUUCCCCUAGUAACGGCGAGUGAAGCGGGAAGAGCUCAAAUUUGAAAUCUUCAAGGGUUUCCCUUGACGAAUUGUAGUUUAAAGAAGUGUUUUCUGUUAGAGAGGUGGUAAAAGUUCGUUGGAAUAGGACAUCAUAGAGGGUGAGAAUCCCGUAUUUGAUCACUUUCUACUAACGUUGUGAUACACUUUCAAAGAGUCGGAUUGUUUGGGAAUGCAGUCCAAAAUGGGUGGUAAAUUUCAUCUAAAGCUAAAUAUUGGCGAGAGACCGAUAGCGAACAAGUACCGUGAGGGAAAGAUGAAAAGAACUUUGAAAAGAGAGUUAAACGGUACGUGAAAUUGUCAAAAGGGAAGCGUUUGACACCAGUGUUGUUUUUCCGAAAAUCAAUUAUGAAUGGCUUGAUUUUAAGUUUCAUGACCUUAAAAGCUUGUUUCUUAUUUUUCAUGUCUUUCGUAAUGCACUUUUCGGUUAACAAGUCAACAUCAAUUUCUUUUGUUGUAAAAGGUUAAGAGGAAGGUGGCUUUACUUUCGGGUAAAGUGUUUAUAGCCUUUUAACUCUGCAAUCGGAGAGAUUGAGGUCUGCAGCGUAGAUCCUUCGGGGUUAGAUACGUUUGUGCUAAGUUAUAGCUUUUCAUAGACAACUUGUUGACUAUGUUAAGUCUUGUAAUUUACUCGCAGAUGCUAUUUUACCUACGCUUAGGAUGUUGAACUCUAUCACACACAG